GAUGAACGCUGGCGGCGUGCCUAACACAUGCAAGUCGAACGGACUGCUACAAACGGAGAUUCGUCAAAGAUUGUAGUAAGUUAGUGGCGGACGGGUGAGUAACGCGUGGGUAACCUGCCUCAUAGAGGGGGAUAACGAUUGGAAACGAUCGCUAAUACCGCAUAAGCGCACGGUACCGCAUGGUACAGUGUGAAAAACUCCGGUGGUAUGGGAUGGAUCCGCGUCUGAUUAGCCAGUUGGCGGGGUAACGGCCCACCAAAGCGACGAUCAGUAGCCGACCUGAGAGGGCGACCGGCCACAUUGGGACUGAGACACGGCCCAAACUCCUACGGGAGGCAGCAGUGGGGAAUAUUGCACAAUGGGGGGAAACCCUGAUGCAGCGACGCCGCGUGAGCGAAGAAGUAUUCGGUAUGUAAAGCUCUAUCAGCAGGGAAGAAGAAUGAC
rnacentral:rRNA from 1 species